rnacentral:ncRNA from 1 species
CAACGGGGUGCCUUUCUAUUUCUAGGCUGAGAAAAACUCGUGGAACCUGAUCCAGCUAAUACUGGCGUAGGGAUUUGAG